rnacentral:rRNA from 1 species
GACGAACGCUGGCGGCGUGCUUAACACAUGCAAGUCGAACGGAAAGGCCCUGCUUUUGUGGGGUGCUCGAGUGGCGAACGGGUGAGUAACACGUGAGUAACCUGCCCUUGACUUUGGGAUAACUUCAGGAAACUGGGGCUAAUACCGGAUAGGAGCUCCUGCUGCAUGGUGGGGGUUGGAAAGUUUCGGCGGUUGGGGAUGGACUCGCGGCUUAUCAGCUUGUUGGUGGGGUAGUGGCUUACCAAGGCUUUGACGGGUAGCCGGCCUGAGAGGGUGACCGGCCACAUUGGGACUGAGAUACGGCCCAGACUCCUACGGGAGGCAGCAGUGGGGAAUAUUGCACAAUGGGCGGAAGCCUGAUGCAGCAACGCCGCGUGCGGGAUGACGGCCUUCGGGUUGUAAACCGCUUUCGCCUGUGACGAAGCGUGAGUGACGGUAAUGGGUAAAGAAGCACCGGCUAACUACGUGCCAGCAGCCGCGGUGAUACGUAGGGUGCGAGCGUUGUCCGGAUUUAUUGGGCGUAAAGGGCUCGUAGGUGGUUUGAUCGCGUCGGAAGUGUAAUCUUGGGGCUUAACCCUGAGCGUGCUUUCGAUACGGGUUGGCUUGAGGAAGGUAGGGGGAGAAUGGAAUUCCUGGUGGAGCGGUGGAAUGCGCAGAUAUCAGGGAGGAACACCAGUGGCGAAGGCGGUUCUCUGGGCCUUUCCUGACGCUGAGGAGCGAAAGCGUGGGGAGCGAACAGGCUUAGAUACCCUGGUAGUCCACGCUGUAAACGGUGGGUACUAGGUGUGGGGUCCAUUCCACGGGUUCCGUGCCGUAGCUAACGCUUUAAGUACCCCGCCGGGGGAGUACGGCCGCAAGGCUAAAACUCAAAGGAAUUGACGGGGCCCCGCACAAGCGGCGGAGCAUGCGGAUUAAUUCGAUGCAACGCGUAGAACCUUACCUGGGUUUGACAUGGAUCGGGAGUGCUCAGAGAUGGGUGUGCCUCUUUUGGGGUCGGUUCACAGGUGGUGCAUGGCUGUCGUCAGCUCGUGUCGUGAGAUGUUGGGUUAAGUCCCGCAACGAGCGCAACCCUUGUUCACUGUUGCCAGCACGUUAUGGUGGGGACUCAGUGGAGACCGCCGGGGUCAACUCGGAGGAAGGUGGGGAUGACGUCAAGUCAUCAUGCCCCUUAUGUCCAGGGCUUCACGCAUGCUACAAUGGCUGGUACAGAGAGUGGCGAGCCUGUGAGGGUGAGCGAAUCUCGGAAAGCCGGUCUCAGUUCGGAUUGGGGUCUGCAACUCGACCUCAUGAAGUCGGAGUCGCUAGUAAUCGCAGAUCAGCAACGCUGCGGUGAAUACGUUCCCGGGGCUUGUACACACCGCCCGUCAAGUCAUGAAAGUUGGUAACACCCGAAGCCGGUGGCCUAACCGUUGUGGGGGAGCCGUCGAAGGUGGGACUGGUGAUUAGG